rnacentral:rRNA from 1 species
UACGUAGGGGGCUAGCGUUGUUCGGAAUUACUGGGCGUAAAGGGCGCGUAGGCGGCCUUCUAAGUCGAACGUGAAAUCCCCGGGCUCAACCCGGGAACUGCGUCCGAUACUGGAAGGCUUGAAUCCGGGAGAGGGAUGUGGAAUUCCAGGUGUAGCGGUGAAAUGCGUAGAUAUCUGGAGGAACACCGGUGGCGAAGGCGACAUCCUGGACCGGUAUUGACGCUGAGGCGCGAAAGCCAGGGGAGCAAACGGG